rnacentral:rRNA from 1 species
GAUGAACGCUGGCGGCGUGCUUAACACAUGCAAGUCGAACGGAAAGGCCAGUGCUUGCACUGGUACUCGAGUGGCGAACGGGUGAGUAACACGUGGGUGAUCUGCCCUGCACUUCGGGAUAAGCCUGGGAAACUGGGUCUAAUACCGGAUAGGACAAUGGUUUGGAUGCCGUUGUGGAAAGUUUUUUCGGCGUGGGAUGAGCUCUCGGCCUAUCAGCUUGUUGGUGGGGUAAUGGCCUACCAAGGCGUCGACGGGUAGCCGGCCUGAGAGGGUGUACGGCCACAUUGGGACUCAGAUACGGCCCAGACUCUUACGGGAGGCAGCAGUGGGGAAUAUUGUACAAUGGGGGCAAGCCUGAUGCAGCGACGCCGCGUGGGGGAUGACGGCGUUCGGGUUGUAAACUCCUUUCGCUAGGGACGAAGAGUAUUUGUGACGGUACCUGGAGAAGAAGCACCGGCUAACUACGUG